rnacentral:rRNA from 1 species
GUUGUAUGGUUAAGUGACUAAGCGUACACGGUGGAUGCCUGGGCAGUCAGAGGCGAUGAAGGACGUACUAACUUGCGAUAAGCGCAGAUAAGGCAGUAAGAGCCGUUUGAGUCUGCGAUUUCCGAAUGGGGAAACCCAACUGCAUAAGCAGUUACUGUUAACUGAAUACAUAGGUUAACAGAGCAAACCGGGGGAACUGAAACAUCUAAGUACCCCGAGGAGAAGAAAUCAACCGAGAUUCCGGUAGUAGCGGCGAGCGAACCUGGAUUAGCCCUUAAGCACUCGGUGAAGUAGGUGAACAAGCUGGAAAGCUUGGCGAUACAGGGUGAUAGCCCCGUAACCGACGCUUCAUCGAGCGUGAAAUCGAGUAGGGCGGGACACGUGAUAUCCUGUCUGAAUAUGGGGGGACCAUCCUCCAAGGCUAAAUACUCCUG